rnacentral:rRNA from 1 species
UGCCAGCCGCCGCGGUAAUACGAAGGGUGCUAGCGUUGUUCGGAAUUACUGGGCGUAAAGAGCAUGUAGGCGGAUGAAUUAGUCAGAGGUGAAAUCCCGGGGCUCAACCUCGGAACUGCCUUUGAUACUGCAAGUCUAGAGUCCGAGAGAGGUGAGUGGAAUUCCUAGUGUAGAGGUGAAAUUCGUAGAUAUUAGGAAGAACACCAGUGGCGAAGGCGGCUCACUGGCUCGGUACUGACGCUGAGGUGCGAAAGCGUGGGGAGCAAACAGGAUUAGAUA